CCUACGGGUGGCAGCAGUGGGGGAUAUUGCACAAUGGGGGAAACCCUGAUGCAGCGACGCCGCGUGUGGGAAGACGGUCCUCUGGAUUGUAAACCACUGUCCCCAGGGACGAAAAUGACGUUACCUGGGGAGGAAGCUCCGGCAAACUCCGUGCCAGCAGCCGCGGUAAUCCGUGGGGAGCGAGCGUUGUCCGGAAUUCCUGGGUGUAAGGGGAGCGUAGGCGGGGAAGCAAGUUGGGUGUAAAAACUCCCGGUUCAACUGGGAGUCGCACUCAAAACUGCAGCUCUUGAGUGAAGUAGAGGCAGGCGGAAUUCCUAGUGUAGCGGUGAAAUGCGUAGAUAUUAGGAGGAACACCAGUGGCGAAGGCGGCCUGCUGGGCUUUAACUGACGCUGAGGCUCGAAAGUGUGGGGAGCAAACAGGAUUAGAUACCCCUGUAGUC
rnacentral:rRNA from 1 species